AGCUGAGUCUGUAGAGCAUGAGACUCUUAAUCUCAGGGUCGUGGGUUCAAGCCCCAU
rnacentral:tRNA from 1 species